ensembl:lncRNA
GCCCAUCACUGAUGCGCUCUCACGCAUAUACACGCACGCGGACUAAAAUGCUACACGCCCCCUCCGUCCAUAGGAUCACAUUUUCUGGGAUCUCAUGGACGCAUGAACUUUAGGCAAAGCAAGCCCGAUUUUGGAAAACAUUAGCUCGCGGUGACACAACACAAGAUCACACAUUUGUACUGAUAGGUGUGUUGGAGGAAUGUCAGGAUCGCUGUCAGGUAGUCUAUAAUUAUAAAGGAAAGCCGAUAGCGCUGGUUGAUAUCGAUUUUUACCAGGAUCAGCCGUGCAGAGGAGACGCUCACAGACACAGCAACUCUACAGACAUGUCGGACUCAGAGACCACCGCUCCCGCCGAGGCCCCUGUCCCUGCUGCAUGUGUAACCAUCAAGGCAGACCUGGACAAAUGUGUGAAGGAGGGCGGUGACUGUAAGGACCUGAUGGAGGCGUUUGCAGCCUGUGUGAAAAGUGCAGCGGAGGCGUCGUGAGGAUUGGAGGAAGUCAACUUAAAGGAAAUGUCCACUGCACUGAGUCCUCCACGUUUUCCAGCAUUCCCUUCUGCACAACAAGCACUGGACUGAGUGACACUAGUGUGGUUCGGUGCCUGGCAGAAUCUAUCAAUGUAUCUCCAUCCCACUAACCCUAACCCCUACAACCCCCCCCUGUGAAGCAUAGAAUGCGUCUUCCGAUUUGUACCCUCUGUUCCCUCCAUGGCUGAUAACAUCCAUUUGCAGACACAUCCGGAGAGCCUAUGGGUUUUAUGUCAAUUUAUGUCCACUAGAGAUGCAUAUACAUUUAAAUGGAGUAAUAAAGUCAAAUGUUGGUAUAACA